GAUGAACGCUGGCGGCGUGCCUAAUACAUGCGAGUCGAGCGAACGGACGAGAAGCUUGCUUCUCUGAUGUUAGCGGCGGACGGGUGAGUAACACGUGGAUAACCUACCUAUAAGACUGGGAUAACUUCGGGAAACCGGAGCUAAUACCGGAUGAUAUUUUGAACCGCAUGGUUCAAAAGUGAAAGACGGUCUUGCUGUCACUUAUAGAUGUAUCCGCGCUGCAUUAGCUAGUUGGUAAGGUAACGGCUUACCAAGGCAACGAUGCAUAGCCGACCUGAGAGGGUGAUCGGCCACACUGGAACUGAGACACGGUCCAGACUCCUACGGGAGGCAGCAGUAGGGAAUCUUCCGCAAUGGGCGAAAGCCUGACGGAGCAACGCCGCGUGAGUGAUGAAGGUCUUCGGAUCGUAAAACUCUGUUAUUAGGGAAGAACAUAUGUGUAAGUAACUGUGCACAUCUUGACGGUACCUAAUCAGAAAGCCACGGCUAGCUACGUG
rnacentral:rRNA from 1 species